AUCUAAGUACCCCGAGGAAAAGAAAUCAACCGAGAUUCCCCCAGUAGCGGCGAGCGAACGGGGAGCAGCCCAGAGUCUGAAUCAGCUUGUGUGUUAGUGGAACGGUCUGGAAAGUCCGACGGUACAGGGUGAUAGUCCCGUACACCAAAAUGCACAGGUUGUGAACUCGAAGAGUAGGGCGGGACACGUGGUAUCCUGUCUGAAUAUGGGGGGACCAUCCUCCAAGGCUAAAUACUCCUGACUGACCGAUAGUGAACCAGUACCGUGAGGGAAAGGCGAAAAGAACCCCGGCGAGGGGAGUGAAAAAGAACCUGAAACCGUGUACGUACAAGCAGUGGGAGCACCUUCGGGUGUGACUGCGUACCUUUUGUAUAAUGGGUCAGCGACUUAUAUUCUGUAGCAAGGUUAACCGUAUAGGGGAGCCGCAGGGAAACCGAGUCUUAACUGGGCGUUAAGUUGCAGGGUAUAGACCCGAAACCCGGUGAUCUAGCCAUGGGCAGGUUGAAGGUUGGGUAACACUAACUGGAGGACCGAACCGACUAAUGUUGAAAAAUUAGCGGAUGACUUGUGGCUGGGGGUGAAAGGCCAAUCAAACCGGGAGAUAGCUGGUUCUCCCCGAAAGCU
rnacentral:rRNA from 1 species